GCCAGCACCCCGCCAGACUUUUUCUCUGCGGCCCUGCAAGGUGGCGGUGAGGGGCCCAAGGGAGUUCCUGGCUACUGCUACAGCUCGGUGCCCCGUUCCCACAAGGCGCCCCACCUGUGUGGCGCUGGGGACGGCGGCCAGUACGUGCUCAUGAGCUCCCCCGUGGGCCGCAUCCUGGAGGAGGAGAGACUGGAGUCCUCAGCUGCCCCUGUGGCUGCCGCAUUGAGCAGCGCCUUUGGGACUGGUGGGGACAGCCACAUGCAGCCUCAUCACCCAGCAGCAGUGCCUUCCCCCAUGAGGCCAGGGGGCAAUGGCGGUGGGCGUCCUGAGGGCUUCUUGGGCCAGCGCUGCCGGGCAGUGCGCCCCACACGACUGUCCCUAGAGGGGCUGCAGACGCUGCCCAGCAUGCACGAGUACCCCGUGCCCACGGAGCCCAAGAGCCCCGGCGAGUACAUCAACAUUGACUUCGGGGAAGCAGGUGGACAGUUGUCACCGCCAGCCCGACCGCUGCUGGCCUCUGCUGCUUCGUCCUCCUCGCUGCUGUCUGCCAGUAGCCCUGCAUCUUCGUUGGGUUCCGGUACGCCGGGCACCAGCAGUGAUAGUAGACAGCGCUCCCCGCUGUCUGACUACAUGAACCUGGGCUUCAGCUCCCCCAAGUCGCCCAAGCCAGGAGCCCACAGCGGGGACCCCGUGGGCUCCCUGGAUGCCCUCCAGUCCCCUGACGCCACGUCCCCAUACCCGCCGCUGCCCCCGCGCCCUUCGCCCUGUCUGACCUCUUCCCUACAGCAGGCCCCACCACCGCCUCCCCCCGGAGAGCUGUACCGCCUGCCCACCGCACCGAAUGCUGUAGUCACUUCCCAGGGCCCUGGCACUGCCCCAUCCUCUGACACUGGCGACAACAGUGAUUACACCGAGAUGGCCUUUGGUGUGGCAGCCACCCCGCCACAGCCGAUCGCUGCCCCUCCGAAGCCGGAGGGUGCCCGAGUGAGCAGCCCCACGUCAGGCCUGAAGCGACUGAGCCUCAUGGAUCAGGUGUCGGGCGUUGAGGCCUUCCUCCAGGCUGGCCAGCCCCCUGACCCCCACCGGGGCGCCAAGGUCAUCCGUGCAGACCCGCAGGGGGGCCGCCGCCGCCACAGCUCAGAGACUUUUUCCUCCACCACCACGGUCACCCCUGUGUCUCCAUCUUUUGCCCACAACCCCAAGCGUCACAACUCAGCCUCCGUGGAAAAUGUCUCUCUCAGGAAAAGCAGUGAGGGCAGUGGUGCUGGCAGCCUCGGUGGGGGUCUUGGGGCAGGUGAGGAGCCACUCAGGUCCCCGGGACACUCACAGCUGUCAGUCGCACCCCCGCCACCACAGUCACGGCCGUGGAGCACUGGUCAGCCUGGGGGCCUGGUCGGCUGUCCAGGGGGUGGCAGUUCCCCGAUGCGCAGAGAAACUUCCAUGGGGUUCCCGAAAGGCCUCAACUACAUUGCCAUCAGCGUGCGGGACGAAGCAGGGCUGUCCGCGCAGACGCAGCAUCUACAGCCAGGGGACAGGAGCUCCUGGGGCCGGGCCCGGAGCCUCGGGGGCCUGCUUAGCACUGUGGGAGGCAGUGGCACCAGUGGGGCAUGUGGGGGCCCGGGCCCUAGCGCCCUGCCCUCUGCCAACACCUAUGCCAGCAUCGACUUCCUGUCCCAUCGUCUGAAGGAGGCCACGGUCGUGAAAGAGUGACAAAGCUGGCAAGGUCUCGAGAGGCAGCUGGUGGUGAACUCCGUUGAGAUGCACCUCCCAUGUCCCCCGCCCAUGGCUGCCUGCAGUUUCCUGGCUCCUCAACCUCUGCCGCCUGCUGGACCACGCACAGGAGCCCAAAACCCCGACUGGACUCUGCCCGCCCGCUUGCCCACCCCUCCUCCUGUGCCCGAGCCGUGGCAGAGUUUUGUUUUGGUUUUUGUCCCCAAGUUGCUUGGGUUUCCUGUUCUCCAAGUGUCGGCCGGGGUUGUCGGUUCUAUCCGCCCCCCAUUCCCCGCCCUGUCCCGGUGGGGAAUCCUGGCAUUUGCUGACUUAGGCUCCAAGCCGAAGUCCUACCUCAGCUCAGGGGAGCCGGGGCGUGAGGUGGGGGCCGAGGCCAGGCGUGUGAGCCCUGGGACUGCCUGUGUCCAGUGGCCUCUGUGAUCCAGCCAUGGGUGGACACAUAGUCUCCACCCGUGACACUGGCUUUCAUAGAGCACAACGGGACUGUGACAGUGCCACAUGGGAGGCCUGGGGUGGACUUGGAAGAUAGAUUUGCAGAGAAUCCUCUGCCACUGUCGUCAUCACUGUCACCAUCCCUGUCCCCAUCAUCACGACCGCCUGCUCUUGUCUCCUCCAUCAUGUGGGUCAGGUGGAGGGCAGGCGUGAAGCUCUUUCCCUACGGGCUCUGCUGUCUGCACAAGACAGUCUUGUAGGGACUGCUGCACCCAAGGAUCGGCCUUUCUACCAAAAAUCCACAUGGGCAGCCAGUGACCAUAGCUGCUCUGGGUGUGGCGGAUUUUGUGUGUAAAAUACAGCACGAUCUUUAAACAUGGCAGCCUAAUGCAGGCCCCAGACUACCCUGACUGCAGAGAGGACACCAUCCAACUGUGCCGCUCGGGGCAGGAGCUGGCGGAGAGUGGCCUCACAGGACCGGUCACUCCUCAGAGGAGCCCUCAGCGAGGUCACCCUCAUCCUGCUUUCAGUGUUUGGGAAAUGCCAGCGUUGCGGUGAUGACCACAGCCGUCCUGGUCCCCAUGGCUCCCUGAACACGUGGCUGGACCCCUGCCCAGUGCCUGUCUCCCCAAUAGUCCUAUAGAGGCCACACUAAUUCUUGGAGAUGUGACUUGUUGGUUUGUUUUUUCUGUUGUUACUUUUUGUUUUGGAGGAAAAAAAAAAAAUAUAUAUAUAUAUAUAAAUAUACAGAUCUAUAUCAUAUAGGACAAUGCAUUACUAAACUGAGGCUUCGUAGAGGAAGACCAACAUUUUCAAUGUCUUAAAACUAUGUUUAAUGGCAAUGCACACGUCUUCCUGCUUCUGUGCUGAACUCUUUAGAACCGAGGAUUGUACUGCAAGACAGAGUUGAAUGUAAAGCAAGGUUUUGCUUUCCGGAGUGCUCAUCCCAGCUGCGUGUAGUCAGUUUGAAGGUCACUGCCUGCGAACAACAGGCUUUGUCAGGACGUACAGAGUGUCCCCGAAGUUUUCUUUAGGGAUGAGGAAUUGGUGGGUGGUAGUGCCCUGUGACCCCGGCACCUACGGCCGCCGCGAGCCCCCCAGCGGUUCAGCACGACCCCACCCCAGCCCACACGAUGGUCCGGGCCCCUCCUGCAGCCUAAAAUGAGCAGGGUUGAGAAGGUGAUGCUAUACUAAAAUUUUCCUCUAUCCUGUACAUUUCAAGAAAAAAAGGCAUAUGCAAUAUUACAUUUUUAAUUUAGUUUACAGAAUGGAACCAAAAUGUAUGUUAUGUUUGCAAAAAAAGAUAAUUCACAAUGUAUAUUGGAUCUUUGUACAUUUUGCCUGACUUACCUUAAAUUUAAACUAUUUUUUGCUAUAUAAACUUUAACCGUUAUGAACAGUGCUUCUUUGGGGUACGUGUUACUUCGGGUCUCAAGAUGUUAAAUAUGCUUCUCCCGCUCUUGUGUUAGGACAGCACCCUCCCAGCUGUCUCCCACACUGUACAUAGAGGUACGAGCCGCUGGAACCGUGCAUCGUGUUUAGUCUGUAUCGAUCAUGGAUGCCCUCCUCAAUAGCCAUAUGAAAUAAAUAAAGACAUUAUUUAUGAAAUGAACGA
ensembl:lincRNA